AACGAACGCUGGCGGCAUGCCUAACACAUGCAAGUCGAACGAAGGCUUCGGCCUUAGUGGCGCACGGGUGCGUAACGCGUGGGAAUCUGCCCUUGGGUUCGGAAUAACUCAGAGAAAUUUGAGCUAAUACCGGAUGAUGACGUAAGUCCAAAGAUUUAUCGCCCAAGGAUGAGCCCGCGUAGGAUUAGCUUGUUGGUGAGGUAAAGGCUCACCAAGGCGACGAUCCUUAGCUGGUCUGAGAGGAUGAUCAGCCACACUGGGACUGAGACACGGCCCAGACUCCUACGGGAGGCAGCAGUGGGGAAUAUUGGACAAUGGGCGAAAGCCUGAUCCAGCAAUGCCGCGUGAGUGAUGAAGGCCUUAGGGUUGUAAAGACUCUUUUACCCGGGUAUGAUAAUGACAGUACCGGGAGAAUAAGCUCCGGCUAAC
rnacentral:rRNA from 1 species